UUUUAACUUCUGUUAAACAAUAAAAAAAAAGUUUGAGACAAAUAAGGAAGAAGGAACGAGGUUAAAACUAGAUACAAAAUUUUAUAUAAAAAUAUAUGAAUUUGCACCUAAAAUCCAUGGAGCACAUAUAGAAGCAGGUAAAUGGGGCAAAGGAAAUCUUCUUCCCCUCUCUUUUUUAAAUACUAAAACUUAUUUCCUUUGUUUUUUAAUAUUGAAUCGUUUUUUUUCUCUUUUCCCUUUCUUCUUCUCCUUCUUUUCAUCUUAUUUCCCUUCUGCAGCAAAUCUUAGCCGUUCAUCGCCGCCGAUAGCUUUCCCCUAACACUGGAACUGGAGCAAUUCACCCCAUCGGAUCAGCAACAAUGGUUCUUUGUUAAUAAUUAAGCCGAGAUAACCAAUAUUCUUUAUUUAGAUCUACUUCGAUUCCAGCAUAAGGUGGAUUUGCCUAGAGUUGUAGAUACGAUGCUUUUAUGUGAAGUAGGAAUGCCUUGGAUUGAUAGUCCGUUUAGCAUGAACAAGCAAUUAAAAAGUAAGUUUGUUGUAAAGCUUUUCGUGUGUGAUUUUCCCCUAAAAUGCCCAUUAAUUAGUGACUGUUAUUGUUUAUAAAAGAUCUAUCUGCAAAUUCUUUAGUAAUUGUUUUUCAAAUUUUCUAGUAAUGAUAUAACAUUUCCAUUAACAUUCACUUCGGGAUGAUCAUAGAGUUGAUUAAUCAAUUCAAUUUUCAAACAACCUUGAGAAUUUUGAAGUAAUCGUUCCUCAUUGUUCAAAAUGGUUCUCUUUCAAAGCUACCUAAUUUAAGACAUUUUGAAUGAUUCGUAAGCACAAUUUUAAAAUUGUCAUUUCAUAGAUGAAUGUUUUGCCCCAAAAUGUCUUUAUUUGACCCCAGCUUAGAGAAUCCUCAUGUUCUACUUUAUUUUGGUUGAUUAAUUGAAUUUUUUAUUUUCAUUUAUAUUACCAGAAAAUUAGCUAGAAAUGGAGAAGUCCUGUAAUCUUCUUAUUCACUUUGACAAAGGCACACUUGCAAUUGCUAAUGCGAUUAAAGAAGCACCUGAAGGAAAUGGCCAAAUUUGAUGAAAAGGCCCAUUUUAAAGAAAAAUUAGGGAAAUGAACUAGUUUCUCUUAUAUUUAGGGGAAUGAGUAAACUUUGUAGGACGCAGUUUUGGUCCAAUGGAUAAAUAUAGUAUCUUAUUUUUUUUUAUUUUAUGUUGUUUAAAGUUUUUUUUAAUUUAUGUUUUUAAUUAAUAAUAUAUUGUUUUCAAAUUUUUUUAUUUUUAAUUCAUCUUUUUAAUUAAUAAAUCUUUUAUUUAUAAAACAAAAUUAUUACAAAUUAUAUAAUAAAAAAUAUAUUUUUAAUAAAAUUGAUAUUAUGUCAAAUAUAUUUUAUUUUUUAAAAACAUCAACUAAUUAUUUUCAUAUAUUUUUCUUUAUAUAUAAUAUUUAUAUGUCAAAUAUUUAUUUUCUCCACAUAUAUUGUAGGUAAGGUGAUUUCUAAUAUUAUAAAAUCAAAUAAUUAUUUCAAAUAUCAUUAUUAUUUUUAUAUGUAAAAUAUUUCAAAUAUCAUUGUCUUUUUAUCUGCAUUGUGGGUGGUUCGGGAAAAAAUCGCACCAUGGAUAAACUUUGGGAAAAUUAAUAAGUUUUCUUGCUUUGAAGAGUCACACGCCCGUGUGGGUGUGGCCGUGUGGUCACACACGCUCGUGUGGCUUGGAACAUGCCCGUAUCCUUAGCUCGUGAAACUCUCUGUUUAUGACAUUAGUAAAAUAAUUUAUACCACACGGCCAGGCCACACACCCGUAUACUCGGUCGUGUCCUCUACACGGUUGAGACACAUGGCCUUGUCUCUGCUCGUGUAGCUAACAGUUAGGCUAUUUUCCAAGCCUUAUGUUGACCUUAUUUUUCGCCCAUACUUUUACACAUCAUAGGCACAAAUUAUAACAUCAAUUUAAUGUUUAAUCAACCUUUGGUGAAAUUCAAUUAAAUAACUUGCACGUUGUCAUACAUGUGUUUAUUACCCAACACUUAAUCUCUACACAUUCAACAAUUGUCCAUGUUCAAUCAUUAUCAUCUUACUACCAUGCCACACAUUCACUCCAUGGCCACGACCAUCUCGAAUCGUCCUGGGGCAUUCAUCAUGUACAUGUGGCAUAUACUUCUCAUACAUAGUGAAUAAGCAUAAACACAUAACCACAUCACAAGACAUUAACACAUACCAUGUACAGAUAGGCUUACAAGCCAAAAUCAUUAUAAGCCACAUCUCAUGGCUAUAUACAAUGAAUUAAUAUAAGCCAAUAUCUUGGCCAAAACAUAAAAACACAUAUCAAUAAUUAAGUCCCUAUACAUGCCACUCACUUGAAGAAAUUAAGUUUCAACAAUACUCUAAAGAUGGUAUCUUGAUAGUGUGAGGUUGCCUCCAACGAUCUCCAACCCCGAGCUGACCUGAGGAUACUAAAAGAAAUGGAAGGGGGAGUAAGCUUUAUGCUUAGUAAGUCCAUAUGAAAAUAAUAAGCAUUAUAACAUGUUUCCUUAGGUAAAACAACUAUAAUUAUACUUUUGUUCAUAUUCUGGUCAAGCUAUCUACUCGAGUCAUAGUUGAUAAAUUAUUUAUAUCUUGAGCUACAGGACUCUAGAUUAAGAUCCGUUAAUUUUCCCUAAAACUAGACUCAUUUUUAUUCUUACAAUAAAAUUUUCAAAAUUUUUGGUCUAGCAAAUAAGUACAGUUUAUUAUUCAAAGUUUCCCCUAUUUUGCUAUUCGACAACUUCGACCUUUCUUCACUAAAAUUUAUUUAUCUCAUAGUACGAGACUUGGAUAAUGUUCUCAUCUCUUUCUCCUUAAAGUAAACUCAUUAAGGAUUUCAUUCAUAUGAUUCCUAACUCAUAAUUAUUUUUUUAAAAUUUCUAGUGAUUUUCCAAAAUUAAGAGAGGGGAGUUUGGAAUCACUCCGAUUCUGUCUCACAAGAAUUCAAAUAUCUCGUAAUACAAAAUUAUUUUGUUUACACUGUUUCCUUUAUGUGAAACUAGACUCAUUAAAAUUUAAUUUCAUAUAUUAUUCAGUCUCUAAUUCGACUUCCACCAUUUAUGGUGAUUUUUCAAAUUCGGGCUACUGCUACUAUUCAACACUGUUUCGGUGCAAAAUCACAAUAGCUAUCAUAAAUUCAUUGUCACAUUGAUCAUGGACUCAUUAUUUCAUAAAUCCCAUAUUCUUACACAAUGUAAGUUAACAUGAUAUUGCAACACAAUUCAUAAUCAUAAGCAUAAGGAUGGUUCAUGUUUCAAAUCUUUUCACUUGUUCAUCAUGUAUACACAUACAUAUGCAUGAAUUCGCUUACUCAUUAUUUAUCACAUUUCAAUAAGGCAUCACUUAUGAGUAUAAUGUACGUACCUGUACAUAUCCAUAGCAUAUCAAUUAACUUUACCUUUAUCACCUCAUCCAUCUCGAGACUUUCAUCGCAUUAUUCUUUAUAAUACCCGUUGAAUUUCUCAAAAAUCUCGAUGGAUAAACCAUUUACCGUCAAGUCAUGCAAGUGAUCAUCUCAAUUACGCACUCCCACGAAUCUCACAUCUUACGGUGGGAUUACCAGUCCAGGCUAAAUCCUCCGUACUAUAAACUCAUGGAGUGAUGUCGGAAUUACCAGUCUAGGCUAAAUCCCUUGUAGCGACAAACGCUCUUAAUGAGCUCGGAUCUGAAUUACCAGUCCAGGCUAAAUUCAGACCCUAAUUGGAUUACCCGUCCGAGCUAAAUCCUUAAUGCACACAUAUUCUUCAGGAGGCUCGAUCACUCAAGGAACACCCGUCCGGGCUAGAUCCUUUCCAUAUUUGAGAUCAACGAAUUACCCAUUCAGACUAAAUCCUUUUCUACAAAACAUGCAGGAUCUCAAGUCAUGUAAGCCAUGGUUUAUCCAUUGGAUUUCCCUUUUUAUUCAACCGGGAUUUUUUCUUUUCAUCAAGUAUCUCAUUAUGCAUAGCUGAUCAUGCAAUGUACAUCCAAUUCAACACAUUUCCAUGUUUAUUUAGACAUUAGUCCAUGAAAUAAACAUGGUAUUGCAUAUAAUUAUAUUUAGGCAUUUGUUACAAUAUAAAAGUUUCAUAUCAACUAAAUAAAUAUCCAUCACACGAUACUAACACAUCAAUUUAAAUUCAAGUAUAAACAAUAAUAUCAUUGCAUUGUCAUUGACAUAUGAACUUACCUCGGUUUCGAGUACGACUAUUUAUUUCGAGUUUGUGCUUAACCUUGUUCAACCUUGUUCUAAGCCCAAAUCUUGUUUCCUUGAUUUUUGAGCUUGGAAGCUUGAAAACCCUAACCAUGUCUUCUCCCAUGCAAUAUUUGGCCAUAGGUAGAAGAUAGACAAGAAAUUUUGUUUUUAUUUUGUCUUUUAGUCCAUUUAAUGGCCAAAUGACCAAAAUGCCCUUUUAGCCUUUCUUUGAAAUUUUAUCCAUCCAAGCCCAUUUUUGUCCAAAAUUUUAGAACUUGGUCAAAUUUCUAUUUAAGACCCUCUAAUUAAAAAUCCAAUUCAAUUUCAUACUAAAAACUUCUAGAACUAAUAUUUUUUAAUUUAUUCAAUUUAGUCCCUGAAGUCAAAUUGGACACUUUUCACAUAAAAUUUCUUCAUGAAAUUUUCACACAAGCAUGUAAACAUAUCAUAGACCUUAUAAUAAUCAUAAAAUAAUUAUUUCUACUUCAAAUUUAUGGUCUCGAAACCACUGUUCUGACUAUGGCCUAAUUCGGGAUGUUAUAGGAAGCUUGUCAAAGCUAUAUCACACUAUCCACUGGCUCUUUUGGUAUUUUUUAUUGUUAAAUUUUGGUUAUAAUGGCAUGUAUAGUUAUUUUGUCUUAUGUUGGUCUAUAUUUUUUGUUGUGAAUAUGGCCAUUUGACUUGAUUGAGUUUUGGUAUUUUGAUAAGCUAAUGGUUUAGUUUGACAUGUAUGUGAAUAGCUUUAUUAUGAAUGAUGGUAUUAUAGUUCAAAUAUGUAAAUGAUAAGUGUCAAUAUGAUGUAGAUGAAUAUGGUGUUUUGGUGCACUAGACAUAUAUGAAUUAUGUGACUAUUUGGGGCUAAUUCUUGUAUGAUAUAAUUGGUACCUUUUUGGUAUGUUUUUGAAAGGUAAAACAAGUGACAUAAUAUGAUAUAAACUUGGUCAAGCCUUUGUUGAACAAUUUAUCAAUGCAUGUUCACAUUUGUAUAUGUUUUGAUAUUGUCAUUGAGGUCUUAAGGGCAUAUUGGUUGUAUAAAGUUAGACCAUAUGUAUAUAUCUUGUUUAUGAUUGAUUUGGAUGCCUUAUUAUGGAUUUGUUAUAUAUAUGCAAAGUUGGUUAUAGGUACAUGAAAAAUUUGGUAAGAAAAAUGGCUUGUAAAAUGGCCUAUCUUUGUCCACACGAGCAGAGACACGGGCGCGUGUCUCAGCUAUGUGUCACACGUGGCUAGGUGACACGGCAAUGUGUCCCCUAUAGCUUUCAAAGGGUUGCAAGUCAGGAUGUUACACGGCCUAGCACACGGGCAUGUGGAGUUACUUUGAAGUGUACGCGGCCUGGCACACGGGCAUGUGACUUGGCCGUGUGACCCAAGUCAGUGAGUUACACUGGUGAGUUACACUGGUACAGACAUGGGCUGGGAUACGGCCUUGUGUCUUAUUUUGAAUGCCCACACGGCUUGAGACAUGGGCUUGACUCUUGACCGUGUGAGUCACACAGCCUGGCCACAUGGCCAUGUGAGUCAUAUGGUGACCCUUGCAAUGUUGAAAAUUUUUACUAUUUUUUGAAAAAUUUCCUAAGUUUCUAAUUUAGUCCCGACUUAUUUCUAAUGCAUAUUUAGGGCCUCGAAGGCUCGUAUAAGGGACAAUAUGUAUAACUUGACUUGGUUUUAAUAUGCUUAUUCAUAUGUUAUGAAAUGUUUGAAUUUUUCUAUUUGUUUGAAUUGUAAACUCCGGUAAUGCUCCGUAACCCUAUUCUGAUGACGAAUACAGGUUAGGGGUGUUAUAGGUUUGUGGGCCUCUUUUGACGGGGUGGACAUUAGGGUGUACUGUACACAUCAAGAGGAUCGAUAGUUGGACCGAAUGUGGCUUGAGCCGGGGUAGAGUACAUGUUAUCACCAAACAAUUAAAUGAUAUCGAUGGUUGCUUUGGGUGAUAUGAACUCGAAUUGCCCAUCUCCGGGUGAUAUGAACUGCUUUAGACCCCUCACAAAAAGCCUGAACACACUGGUCCGAUAAAGUGCGUGUGUUCAGACGUUGGUCCUUUGGGUUGAGCUCCACCAUAUGUUGGUCCUCCCGGUCAGGUUCCACCAAAUGUUUAUCAUUUGAGUCGAGCUCCACCAUAGGUUGACUUCCACGCCUGUAGCCAUGAUCCGGUACUAUCAUAAAUUAUCCACCAUAUAAAUAAAAAUGCCUUCGGGUCAUGAACCACUGCAUGUAUUCAGUCGAAGGACUAAAGUCAAACAUACAGGAGUGCAUCUGAGGCUGCUUGUCAUACCGGGCAUUCCAUAGUGUUAUAUAAUGCUGGUGCUCUACAAUCCAAUGUGCUCCAUCUUUUCCCCACAUGGUCUUACUGUGGACAUCAGCAAAUUGUUGUGGAUAGACCAACACAAAUUUUCUACACCCAAACUAUUGCACAACCUGAUCAAUGUUAUAUCACUCAAUGGUUGAGAAGUUAAGCAUCGGCCUGUUAAUGCACCAUACAUGGGCUUCGGCAUGAACCCAUUAAGGAAUAAGGGUUGCAAUGUUC
rnacentral:lncRNA from 1 species